rnacentral:rRNA from 1 species
CACCUAUCAGCUAGCCCCUCCAACAACACCAAAAUCCUUUUAUUAAUACCCCUAAAUCAUACAACCCUUAAACAAACAAACCAUUUUUCACCUUAAGUAUAGGCGAUAGAAAAAG